AGGUACGCACGGUUGUUUUUGAUGGCACGCACAAAACAAACACAACAUGUCAGGCAUUCACCACAGGACAGUAAUGGAUGGACAGGAAAACAAAAGGCGCAAAUAAAAAAAAAGACCACUGGAAAUUCUUCUUCGGCUAAAAAACCACAUCGAUACCGACCAAGAACAAGAGAAAUACGCCGGCUCCAAAGUACAACUACUCUUGUGAUGAGGAAGUUGCCAUUCGCCAAAGUGGUCAGAGAGAUCGUAUUAGCACUUGGUUAUGGUGGCAUUGGAUGGCUUUGGGAAGUCAAUGCCAUACUGGCAUUACA